UUCUUUCUCUUUCUUUCUUUCUUUCUUUCUUUCUUUCUUUCUUUCUUUCUUUCUGGCAGAAGAUUGGAAACAAUAUUCAUUUCUGAUCAGUUCAGUAAUACAAUGUCCUUCAGUGUCCACUUGAGCGUUUCAGUGGCGAAGAAAAGAAACUUUGCUACCUGGGAACUGAAGACUGCUUAGGUCAGUGAAUGCUAAUAAAGUCCUUAAGGACUCAUGGAACCAGGAGUUAACUUUUCUCAACUGUGAAGGCAAAGAUGGGCUGUCUGGAAAGCUGGACUCAGCCUGGAGCCUGCUACCCAGAUUGCGAUUUUGUGAAGACUUCCGCAUACAAAUGACUCAGAUGCAAACAUUCAGAAAUGAUCUUGGAGGGCCAUCUGGUCCUUGCUGGUUCUGAAAGCUUCAUUCAGCCUGGCGGAUGGAGCCCGUGCAAAAGAGAGUGAGGGCCCCGCACUGAGGUUUAAAUACGUUCCCCUGACCGAGGCGAGAAGCUGACUUUCGAAAUAGCUGAGGCUCGAGGGCCGGCUGAUGUCGCCUCCCUCUUAUAGAUGUUGGCGUUCCGCAUUCAGUCAUUCCCGUCUUUCCACGACUGUGGUGCUCCAGGAGAUCUGCCCUACAAGAUCUGGAAUACCGUCAGAUGAAAUAAACUGCCUCUGAGGGAGCUCUGGGUUCCCAUGAUUCUUACUGAUACGUACAACAGGCAAGAACGUUGGACGGAGCCAGAUUUAGUUGUCAGGACCUCAGUCACAUACUGCCUCACCCUCGUCUCCACCCGGCACCUCCUCUGAGAAGCCUUCCAGGAUCCCACCCCCUGCCACCACCCCACUUUCUUCUACCUUCACAUCAGAAUUAGCCACCCCUGGCCUUCGCUGUCUUUCCCAGGGCUCUCGGGACACCGGUCCCUCAAAUGACAUAAUCCGGUCCGCUUCAGUGUUGACCACUUAACUCCUCCUCCUGCCACAGGUCAGGGACCUAGUCUAUCCUUUUUAUAUUCUUUGUGCCUGGCACUUAGAGGGGUCUCAGUAAAUACUAAUCCAAUAAGGGAACGAAGGAGGCUUCUCAAUAAGCUUUCUGGGUUUCCCUAAGAGUUUGUAGAUUGCAGGAGCACCGGAUUCCUUGGGGGCGUCUUCACAUAGGAACAGGGAAAGAUUUAGAGCCUCUGUGAACGUAUUUUCUGAGUAUGGGUGGCAGGGAGUGUGUGGUCAGGCGUUCUCUGGUAUGGCUAACUGGGUUGUGUCCCUCGGCUCUGCUCGCCUUCUCCCUGCGGCUAAUGCAGAAGCACCGUCCACAUCACCACCUGCACCCAGCUGAGGCGGCCAUGACACCAGUGUCUGUAGACCUUUUGGCCAUACCUCUUGGCCGCGCCACCUUUAGAAAUGAGCUCCCG